AUCCUCAUUUUUGAGUGAAUCAGUCUUAGUUGCUUUCAUUUACUGAGGGCUGUGUUCAUUCUUACUGUAAGGUGGAAAUGACACCCUGUUUAUACAAAUGACGAAUCUGAAGUUCAGCCAAGUUAAGGCAUUUACACAGAUCACAGGGUUAGUGCUGAAAUGGGGAUCCCAGUCUGGCCACUUUCUGAGUCGAUACAUAAGGACUUCAAAAAUUGCCAAGAAGGGUCAUUAUGUUAUUAGCACUGUUGGUCCUUUCCAUUUUCCUGUUCUUUUGCAGGUCUUAGCACCUGAACUGAAGUGCCAUCUCCCCUACUUUCUCUGUUUUUGUUUUCACUAUUAUUUUCCCUUCUCCCUGUACUAAAUGGGUUAAGGUCAGUUCAAAAGAAAGGGAAUCUCUCAAAGUUAGUCAGAAGCACCAGGCAAAAGCCUGUGUAUCUCUUCAACAGGUCCUAAAGGCUGGUUUAUGGAGGGCAAAGAUGUGACAUGGCAAUAGCAGUUCUAGAAAGAUGUUUUACUUCUCCUUAGAAUUAAUUGCCCUCACCAUUUGUAUUAUACAAUGAGAACUUCUUUUCUUUUAUCUUUAUGUUUUUCGCAUAGCAUAGGUAUUCUAAUAAAAAGCAAAAAUUCCUGGCAACCACAACCUACUGCCAGCUUGUCUGGGCUAACUCUGGUCAUGAAGGGCUCUGGUUGAAGGAACCACAUGAGGAGAAGACUUCUAGAUGAAGUUGGCCUCUCCAAGUUGGUGGAGUCUCUAGAAGAGCUAAGGGAUUGUGGCCCCUACUGAAGAGUUGGAGGAGAAGCAACAAGUUUCAUGAAUUUUUUUUCCUGGGGGAGCUGAAUACACCCUAAAAUCAAUGGGCAGAAACAAAAAUUCUCUCUGGGUCUCUUUGGGGGAAAUCAUUAAAAUCCUUCUUCGUCUGUAAAAUGAGAGAGUUAGACU